GUCCCGUUCGUCUAGAGGCCCAGGACAGUGCCCUCUCACGGCACCAACAGGGGUUCGAAUCCCCUACGGGACGCCA
rnacentral:tRNA from 4 species